UCUAAAAAACGUUGGGUUGUUUUUUCAACCCAACUGCUGGGUUGAGCCAGUUGGGUUAUUUUGUUGGGUUGUUUUAUCAGUGUUGGGUAGUUUUUGUGUAACCCAACUUGUUGGGUUAUAUGUUGGGUAAUUUUGAAGCAGAGCCAACUUAAUAGAUACAUAUAGCUGUUUCUCAAUAUUACUUUCUCUAGUCCACAAAAUGUAUUUUAAACAUAAGUUCAGGCGAGAAUAUAUAUGUAUAAUGUUCAAAUUUGCAGUCGGUUUGUAAAGUGAACGCCAAUUUUAAAGUUUAAUUUCAAACAGUCGGAAUGUUACCGGCGCGACCACCGGGUGUCAGUGUUGUUCUUCCCCAGAGAGAACUUCUCCCUUCCCCCACACAGACACGUCAGACUCCUCCUGCCACAGCACGCUACCUGACGCGGGAAUUUAACAUCACCUCAGGAUUCAUAAACGGUUUUUCAUCGACUUCUCUUUGAUUUAUUUGAAGGAAAAGACCCUGAUGGAUAAAAGAUGGAUAUUUUCUCCUGGAGAAGCUAAAACAAUGUCACUUUGAGGUUCUGAUACCAGCUUUUACAAAGUUAUUUACAGAGUUCACAAGACUUCUCUGUGUUAUUCCCUGACCAUGCCGAAAAGCUAUUUGAAACUUGGGCACUGCAUUUUACAGACAGAAUCCUGCAACUUCCCAGCCAAGAACCAGGAGCAUCAACAAAUCACCUACAGAACCCCAUGAUGAUAUUCCAACUCAUGUCUACAAAAGUGGGAAGAAAAUCUUAAGUUUAUGUUGGGACCAACAUGGUUGCAUUCUUCUGAGAGGCUGAGGUGACAAAACCAUUCCCAUUUGUCCUUGGAUUGGAAGAUGACGAUCUCUGCCAUCAAGCCUUCGUUGUUUUUGACAGACAGUCACUCCAGCAAUACACCCUCCUUGGUGAUGUUGACAUGCUUUAAACUUUUUUUUAUGUUUUGGACAUUCAUUUUACUAAGCAGUGCACAUCAGUGUGGGUGUUUUUGAAGACUGUUGUUUACGAACUCCCAAGAACGGAAUCCCUUUCUAUAAGAAGUCUGUGUAGUUAUUUGUCAUGCUAGGGUGAUAACUCAUGUUGAUCAUAUAUUGACUGUUUGUGCAACUUAGUGUUGAUCUUAUGUGUUACAUUAACCAUUUCUUAUUAUACGGUUCUCUAAAAUGCUAGAUUCUGAUUGGCCAGUCGUGACAUUCUACUACUGCUCAAAACUAAAAACUCCAAUGCUGCAAAUCAUUUUGACAGGUACAGUUUUAUAUUACACAAAAAUUAAAUAUCAAUGUCUAUUAAUAACAUAUCCGACAUUAAAUUUACAAAUGAUUAAACCAAUGUGUUUGUGACAUUUCUCCUGAAGAAACUGUUGGGGCUUUUUUCUGUGAUGACAUGCUGCCAAUACAUUAUCCCUUACUUGUACAACUUUUUACUUGAUCUAAUUGUAAUGUUAACCGGGUAUCUGUCAUUUUAGAUUGUGAGAUAUAAUACUAAUAUAUUUUUUUUAUUAGAAAGUUGAUUGUUUGUGU